CCUUCGGUAGCUCAGUUGGUAGAGCGGUGGACUGUAGUGUACGUAAUCAUAGAUAUCCAUAGGUCGCUGGUUCAAAUCCGGCCCGAAGGA
rnacentral:tRNA from 1 species